AAUCAAUCAGAGCACAGGGAGCCAUCUCAUUAUCUUUCCGUAAAGAAAAACUAUGGUGGACUAACUGAUCUUUAAAUCAGUUUAUGAAAGAGCCCAAUGCAAAAAAAUGCAUGUUGGGUCUUUGAAACAGUUCAAAUCAUUUCGAUAAUAAUCCGUUUGAUCUGUUUUACCGAGAAGGUCUACGGUUCGAAUCCGUAUAGCCCUAAUAUGCCCUUUUUUAGAUUUUAGGAUCUCUAUCCUAUGUUUUCUUUAGUUUAGUAUAGUUUUCAUUUUCUCAUUAGUAUUUGUUUAUAGACUGGAUAGGCGCCUGCGACAUAGAAUAGAGAUAAAAGCAUUACCAAAGGCUCAUUCAUCGAAAAUCAAAAUCAUACAGACAGGAAAAGAAAAACGAAUUUCUAUCAAAUCAAUAGAAGAAAGGAUCCUUUCCCUGAUUUGAAUCCCGUCCUCCUUCAAAUAGGAUAUCUCUAGACUUCCCUAUAAUAACUGCAAUGAUUUUAUCCAUUUUGCGAAUUCCUACUUUAGUUUUAAGUAUAUUUAUUACUUUGUUUAUAGAUACAUUAUGUAAAUUGGUCAACUUUAAAUAGAAAAAAUAAAGUAAAGAGUAAAUAAGAAAACAGAAUAUUCUGUCUCAUAGUUCUGAAAUAGAGUUCUUUAUUUUUAUUUUAUAGUAUUACUUCUCAUUAAUUAUACUGCAUAGAUUAGUCCUACUAUCUUAAUUAGGUUCUAAUUUAGUAGUAUUCUCAUUUUUAUUUAAUAGUCUCUUAUUAUUUUAUUAUUAAAUAUUAAAUAAAGGAUAGAGCUAUUCUUUUUUCUAGAGAUUCUAGAGAAAGCGAGACAAAGUGAAACGAGAAAGUUUUCUUUAUAUAAGAAUUAGAUCUACAUACACCAUAUCUAAAUAGAAUGGAAAUCCAAAAGAAAGGGAGUUGGGAUUCCAUUGGAUGAAUCUUUAAAGAAGAUGCAGCACAGAGGAAACAAAGGCUAAACUAAGCGCUUUUGUUUGAACAAAAAAGAUUCUUGUUUCACCGAGGAAAAGAGAGAAGUUCUGGAUAAAUUGACAAUGCUGAAUUGAAUUGACUAAUUUAAGUUCAGCCUAUUCCACAUUAAUGGGAGUACAUUAUGUUUCUGCUUCACGAAUAUGAUAUUUUUUGGACAUUUCUAAUAAUAGCAAGCCUUAUUCCUAUUUUGGCAUUUUCGAUUUCAGGACUUUUAGCCCCGGUUAGUGAAGGACCAGAGAAGCUUUCUAGUUAUGAAUCGGGUAUAGAACCCAUGGGAGGGGCUUGGGUACAAUUCCGAAUACGCUAUUAUAUGUUUGCGCUCGUUUUUGUUGUUUUUGAUGUGGAAACCUUCUUUCUAGAGAUUCUAGAGAAAGCGAGACAAAGUGAAACGAGAAAGUUUUCUUUAUAUAAGAAUUAGAUCUACAUACACCAUAUCUAAAUAGAAUGGAAAUCCAAAAGAAAGGGAGUUGGGAUUCCAUUGGAUGAAUCUUUAAAGAAGAUGCAGCACAGAGGAAACAAAGGCUAAACUAAGCGCUUUUGUUUGAACAAAAAAGAUUCUUGUUUCACCGAGGAAAAGAGAGAAGUUCUGGAUAAAUUGACAAUGCUGAAUUGAAUUGACUAAUUUAAGUUCCGCCUAUUCCACAUUAAUGGGAGUACAUUAUGUUUCUGCUUCACGAAUAUGAUAUUUUUUGGACAUUUCUAAUAAUAGCAAGCCUUAUUCCUAUUUUGGAUUUCCAUUCUAUUUAGAUAUGGUGUAUGUAGAUCUAAUUCUUAUAUAAAGAAAACUUUCUCGUUUCACUUUGUCUCGCUUUCUCUAGAAUCUCUAGAAAAAAGAAUAGCUCUAUCCUUUAUUUAAUAUUUAAUAAUAAAAUAAUAAGAGACUAUUAAAUAAAAAUGAGAAUACUACUAAAUUAGAACCUAAUUAAGAUAGUAGGACUAAUCUAUGCAGUAGAAUUAAUGAGAAGUAAUACUAUAAAAUAAAAAUAAAGAACUCUAUUUCAGAACUAUGAGACAGAAUAUUCUGUUUUCUUAUUUAAUCUUUACUUUAUUUUUUCUAUUUAAAGUUGAUCAAUUUACAUAAUGUAUCUAUAAACAAAGUAAUAAAUAUACUUAAAACAAAGUAGGAAUUCGCAAAAUGGAUAAAAUCAUUGCAGUUAUUAUAGGGAAGUCUAGAGAUAUCCUAUUUGAAGGAGGACGGGAUUCAAAUCAGGGAAAGGAUCCUUUCUUCUAUUGAUUUGAUAGAAAUUCGUUUUUCUUUUCCUGUCUGUAUGAUUUUGAUUUUCGAUGAAUGAGCCUUUUGUAAUGCUUUUAUCUCUAUUCUAUGUCGCAGGCGCUUAUCCAGUCUAUAAACAAAUACUAAUGAGAAAAUGAAAACUAUACUAAACUAAAGAAAAAGUAUGGUGGACUAACUGAUCUUUAAAUCAGUUUAUGAAAGAGCCCAAUGCAAAAAAAUGCAUGUUGGGUCUUUGAAACAGUUCAAAUCAUUUCGAUAAUAAUCCGUUUGAUCUGUUUUACCGAGAAGGUCUACGGUUCGAAUCCGUAUAGCCCUAAUAUGCCCUUUUUUAGAUUUUAGGAUCUCUAUCCUAUGUUUUCUUUAGUUUAGUAUAGUUUUCAUUUUCUCAUUAGUAUUUGUUUAUAGACUGGAUAAGCGCGUGCGACAUAGAAUAGAGAUAAAAGCAUUACAAAAGGCUCAUUCAUCGAAAAUCAAAAUCAUACAGACAGGAAAAGAAAAACGAAUUUCUAUCAAAUCAAUAGAAGAAAGGAUCCUUUCCCUGAUUUGAAUCCCGUCCUCCUUCAAAUAGGAUAUCUCUAGACUUCCCUAUAAUAACUGCAAUGAUUUUAUCCAUUUUGCGAAUUCCUACUUUGUUUUAAGUAUAUUUAUUACUUUGUUUAUAGAUACAUUAUGUAAAUUGAUAAACUUUAAAUAGAAAAAAUAAAGUAAAGAGUAAAUAAGAAAACAGAAUAUUCUGUCUCAUAGUUCUGAAAUAGAGUUCUUUAUUUUUAUUUUAUAGUAUUACUUCUCAUUAAUUAUACUGCAUAGAUUAGUCCUACUAUCUUAAUUAGGUUCUAAUUUAGUAGUAUUCUCAUUUUUAUUUAAUAGUCUCUUAUUAUUUUAUUAUUAAAUAUUAAAUAAAGGAUAGAGCUAUUCUUUUUUCUAGAGAUUCUAGAGAAAGCAAGACAAAGUGAAACGAGAAAGUUUUCUUUAUAUAAGAAUUAGAUCUACAUACACCAUAUCUAAAUAGAAUGGAAAUCCAAAAGAAAGGGAGUUGGGAUUCCAUUGGAUGAAUCUUUAAAGAAGAUGCA
rnacentral:lncRNA from 1 species